rnacentral:misc_RNA from 1 species
AAGUCGUAACAAGGUUUCCGUAGGUGAACCUGCGGAAGGAUCAUUAACACGUAUCCAACGUUAAACCCCCAUUGUACAUCCACGUCAUAAACCGGCAAUCUCUGGUAAUCAUCGCCGAACAGUUUUGAUUCAGAGACCUCUGGGAAGGGUGUACGGUAGUGCGAGGCAAUUGACCUGGCAUUCCUCUGCUUGUUAGUGUCUGAAAGUGUCACUAGCUAUGUACGGAUGGCGCAGUAACGAUCGCUGGAGGCCGACACGGCCGGCGACCAGGUCACUGGGCUACGGCCCCCCUGAUCACAACCUUUGCAUGAAAACGGGCCUGCGCUGAGGUGCGGCCACCCCUAAUGCUUGAACAACUGUUAACAAUGGAUAUCUUGGUUCUC